rnacentral:rRNA from 1 species
UACGAAGGGGGCUAGCGUUGUUCGGAAUUACUGGGCGUAAAGCGUGCGCAGGCGGCUUCUCAAGUCAGGGGUGAAAGCCCAGAGCUUAACUCUGGAAUUGCCUUUGAGACUGAGAGGCUUGAGUACGGGAGAGGUGAGUGGAAUUCCCAGUGUAGAGGUGAAAUUCGUAGAUAUUCGCAAGAACACCAGUGGCGAAAGGCGGCUCACUGGCCCGGUACUGACGCUGAGGUGCGAAAGCGUGGGGAGCAAACAGG